GGUGAACGCUGGCGGCGUGCCUAAUACAUGCAAGUCGAGCGAAUGGAUUGAGAGCUUGCUCUCAAGAAGUUAGCGGCGGACGGGUGAGUAACACGUGGGUAACCUGCCCAUAAGACUGGGAUAACUCCGGGAAACCGGGGCUAAUACCGGAUAACAUUUUGAACUGCAUGGUUCGAAAUUGAAAGGCGGCUUCGGCUGUCACUUAUGGAUGGACCCGCGUCGCAUUAGCUAGUUGGUGAGGUAACGGCUCACCAAGGCAACGAUGCGUAGCCGACCUGAGAGGGUGAUCGGCCACACUGGGACUGAGACACGGCCCAGACUCCUACGGGAGGCAGCAGUAGGGAAUCUUCCGCAAUGGACGAAAGUCUGACGGAGCAACGCCGCGUGAGUGAUGAAGGCUUUCGGGUCGUAAAACUCUGUUGUUAGGGAAGAACAAGUGCUAGUUGAAUAAGCUGGCACCUUGACGGUACCUAACCAGAAAGCCACGGCUAACUACGUGCC
rnacentral:rRNA from 1 species